rnacentral:lncRNA from 1 species
UCGCUUAUUUUAACAACAAUUCUCAAAUCACACACAACAAAAUUAUUUUCUUUUUCACUUGCUCUCCAUUCCGAGCAUCACAAGAAUUUUCUUUUAAUACAAUGCCAUCUUCCAACGAACUUUUCUUUUUAAUCCUUGUCACCAAUUUUAAAAUAAAAUAAAAUUUACAUGACUCCCAAUUUUCACGAAACCAUAUCGUCUCAUAAUGUUCCUUUUCUUUACUACUCCCCUUUCCAAGAGUUAAUAAAAAUACAUCUCGUAAAGUAUGGUCUUUUUCAACCAUAAUUCUCAUAUUCUCACAAAAAUAUUCAUUUCACGAUUCCAUAAAAAUAAUGAUUCCCAACCAAUGUCUCAAAUUUAACUCAAAAUCAUAAUAUAAUUAAAAUGACACUUGUCAACUCAUAAUUUACAAAGUACUUGUCAUAUGUCAAUGUCAAAUAUAAUUAAACUUUAAAAUAUAUUAUAGACUUCACAAACCAUCAUCAAAAUUCUUUUUAAAAUUUUAGUUGACCAAUUUUAAUUAAUUUUAUUCUCACUAAUAAUGAGACCCAUAUAUGUUCAUAAAUCACCCAAUGAGAAAUAAGCAACUAAUUGUUUGGGAACACUUCUGAAAAUUAUUUCGAUGUGUGUAAUAAUGCUCUUAAACUAAAAAACUUGUGGAAUAAAUUAAACUGUGUAUAAUUAAUUAAGAUCUGGAUAGUUCAAUUUUCGAACAUGUUAAAAUGGAUAUAUUCCGAUAUUCAAUUAAAAUGGGACUCAAAUAUAUUUCUAGCGAUCCAAAAAGUCUUUUAUAUCCAAUUUGAUUUUUGACAACCAUACCACAUAUCUGUAAUCAGAUUUUACAUAAUGGAUAAUGUUAACGGUUAUUAACAAAAUUGGAGGUUGUAACAGGAAUCAAAAUCUGUGACGGUGGCCUCUCCCUGAAACUCGUCCCGGAGAGUGGUGGUGGUGUAUUUGGAUGUGGCUGAGAUCAUAGACAUUGGGUUCAAGAUCACGAAGAAAACUAGGGGUCCAUUCACCGGCCUCUUGUUCCCAUGAAUUACCCAUGCCUACGAUGUGCCUACGUACCCCUAUUUAUAGGGGAUCAAGCCGGUACGUGAUGUGCUAGAAAUGAUUACCUUUUUUUAUCGCAAGCGCACGAUCACCGUUUUAAUAUUUAAGAUUCGUCCACAGAGAAUAAAAUUAUUUUUCGCAACCUAUUAUUAUUUAAUCUAGGCGGAUUAGGACAAUUAAUCUAGUGUGAAGAGUGUAUAUUUUAAAACUAAUUUUAACUAGUAUAAACUUUAAUUUAGAAUCUAAUCUAAUUAACCUUAACCAACAAUAAUAAACAAACUCAAUUAACACAAGUUAAUCAAUCAAAUUAAUAGAAAUUUGUUACAAACUGAGAUUGAACAACGCAAAACAAACAAACUAGGCAGACUCUUACCAAAACAACUCGACUAAAAGAUAAUGGCUAUUGGCUCCUUAAGAAAAACCACAAAGCAGCACAUGUCAGUAAACUAAAAUCAACAACUUCCGCAAAAAGAAAACAAAUGACUCAGCUAAUGAUUAACAGCAAACAUGGUGAAAACUCGCAGCAUAAAAAGCCAUAAAUACAAACGAAACCAGAACUCGGUGCUAUAAAACCCAGAAACAACUCGGAAAAGCACACAAAAUCAGACGCGUGACUGGGCUACUUCUAAACAGACUCGGACGCAACUAAAGAAAAACAGAAACGCAGCACAACACCUCGACAAUACAACUCAGAACUCAGCCAAUAGACUCGCAACUACCACGCAAACUCGAACCAAAACCCAGUAAAGAACCCAGCUACAUAGACUCAAAAACUCGACGCACGACUUAGUUACAAAACCAGAAGACAAGCUGAUCACCUAAUAAACGAAAACCACCCAUCUAAACUCCUAAACCCAACUCGCACAAGGUUCGGAAAAGACUCAAGAACAGCAGAAAAAUGAAACUCGGACAAACCACAACUCGAUGAAGAAGACAAUGACUCGAUGAUUAACAACAACUCAACAAAACUGACUCGGUCAAAUCAUCAUAAAAGCAGCAAAGAAAAAAAAACGCAGACUCGACUAAACAUGCUGACUCGAAAACAGUUUGACACGGAAAUACAGCUGCUCGAAAACUAAACUCAAACUCGGGCAAACUAAAGCACCGAGAUUCAGACCAAAAACAAAGGAAGGCAACUUAGAACUACGACUCGACUGCAAACAGACAGCAAUCAACUACUCAGUCGAAGAACAGAGUGACCUGGACUGUAGUUUCUACGAAAGAAAAGCGGCGACUCAAGACUCAGAAAACAAAGAAAACCAUCAGCCGAAAAACGCAGUAGGAAACCCAACAAAACCAAAUCAAACUCAGAGCAGAACUUGGUGCGAAUGCGAAACAGACUCGCAGGUGGACUCAGCCGUGACUCAGUGCUCAACUCGGUAAACUACGACUUAAAACAGAACCCAAAGCAACAGCCAAAAGCGAAACACAAAAGUUAACAACCAUGACAUUCGAACUCUAAAAUGAACAAACAAAACAGCAACUCAGCGUAAUGAUUCAGUAAAAAAAAAUGAGAUAAUUAGAAGAGGGUUUGCUGGGUUUUUAAACAAAUCGAAAACAGGGGAAGGGAGUGUGCUGGGUUUUGAUAACAAAAGCCAGGAAAUGGUGGAUUUUGUGUUCUAAGAAAAAGAAAGAAACAGAGCAGGGGAGUAAUCGAGAGUUUCAAUACAAUUUUUAUUAUUUUACCAAAAGCUUGUUUGCACUUGAAAAUAUAAUAAAGAAAGCGUACAUAAUUUAGGAAUGUUAAAUCUAAACCCUCACACAAAUAAUUUUUGUGCUAGGAUUUAAUAACUUUCCAAAAAUUUAAAUCUAAACAUAAAGAGAUCUACAACUAAUUAAUGGCUCCUUUCAAUCCACAAGCAAUUUUGAAAUUCAUGUGGUUAGAGAAAGAUUUCAAAGAUUUCAUAGCCAGAAGUAAAAAGUAAAGAGCAAGAUUUAAGAACAAAAAUGAAUACUUGUAUUGAUAUAAUAAAAGUGUUUACAAAUUUAGAGUGCUACUACUAGAUCUACUACAUAAAAGAGAGGCUACUAAAAAUAGGAAAUCCUAGGUAGGUGAAACAUGAUGGGGAGAUGUGUAUUUAUAGGGGGAAAUUAGGGUAGAGGGGGGGUGUAGGUGUCCCAUCUAGAUACUUCCUUGAGAAUAUUCCCCUAUGAUCCUUUUCUUCCCAUCUUUUUCUCUUUUUUCUCUUUUUUUGCUUUAUUCUUUUAUUUCUUCAAGCAUUUGCAAUAUUCCUGAAAAAAGACAAAUAAACAAAUAAAUAAGUGAGAACAAGCAAUAAUUAGGCAUUUAAAAUAUGAAAAAUAUGCACUUAUCAAACUUCCCCAUACCUAUAUUUUGCUCGUCCUCGAGUAAAAUCAAAAGAAAAGAAAAUAAACUAUGAAAACUAGAUGCGAUUCCUAGGCUCCUUUUCGUAGGCGUGACGGGUGAUUUUAGGUUCACCAACCCGUUAAACUCGUAGACGAUCUCUACAAGAGGAGUUUUGUCUCCUAAGGGAGGAGUUUUGUCUCCUAAGGGUUUACAGAAGAUAUACCCAUAAAAUCCUCGAGACAUUCUAGCAAGUGUCUACUCGACUCUACUCUAAUUUCGUUGGUGUUUAACAAAAGCGUUUUUAAGGAAAAUACGACUCAAAGACUCUUUUACUAAUAAUCAAGAUACAGUUGUCUCUAAUCUACUUGAAAUCGACUCAAAAAUUUACUAGAAAUCCAAGGAGUGUAAUGAAUUUAAGGCCUUUGAUGGAUCCUAAUUGUCUAAGAACAUUUUCUCUUUUUAAACCAAUUUUGAACUGACCCAAUCUCUAUCGAAACAAAUAUCUAGCCAAACUUUACCAACUUUUAUUCUUUUUUUUUUAUUCGCAUUGACUUUAUUUUGUCCGUUUUCUUAGGAAAACAGUGUUACCCAUGUAGCGAGCUUUGGGUCAGUGACUUCCAAACCAAACGGUCUUAGGGCAUUAGGUUUUCAAAUCCCCCUACGGACUUAAUUGCUCGAGUAACAAAGGCCACAAAACGAGACUAGCCAAUCUACUUUUGCCCAUUUAUCUAAAGAUUUUAUCUAU